GUGGGGAAUCUUCCGCAAUGGACGAAAGUCUGACGGAGCGACGCCGCGUGAGUGAAGAAGGCCUUCGGGUCGUAAAGCUCUGUCAUCAGGGACGAACGGCCGGUGGAGUGGAAAGCCACCGGAUUGACGGUACCUGAGAAGGAAGCCACGGCUAACUACGUGCCAGCAGCCGCGGUAAUACGUAGGUGGCAAGCGUUGUCCGGAAUUAUUGGGCGUAAAGCGCGCGCAGGUGGGAUCUUAAGUCCAUUUUUAAAGUUCGGAGCUCAACUCCGUGAUGGGAUGGAAACUGGGAUUCUUGAGUACCGGAGAGGAAAGCGGAAUUCCCCGUGUAGCGGUGAAAUGCGUAGAUAUGGGGAGGAACACCAGUGGCGAAGGCGGCUUACUGGACUGUAACUGACGUUGAGGCUCGAAAGCGUGGGGAGCAAACAGGAUUAGAAACCCCGGUAGUCC
rnacentral:rRNA from 1 species